UACGAAGGGUGCUAGCGUUGUUCGGAAUUACUGGGCGUAAAGCGCGCGUAGGCGGCUUGUCAAGUCAGGGGUGAAAUCCCACAGCUCAACUGUGGAACUGCCUUUGAAACUGUCAGGCUAGAGUGUCGGAGGGGAUAGCGGAAUUGCUAAUGUAGAGGUGAAAUUCGUAGAUAUUAGCAGGAACACCGGUGGCGAAGGCGGCUAUCUGGACGACAACUGACGCUGAGGCGCGAAAGCGUGGGGAGCGAACAGG
rnacentral:rRNA from 1 species